rnacentral:lncRNA from 1 species
CUCCUGGUCUCUGCUCUGAAGUUGCCAUGUGAUCCACUGGCAAGAGAAGGCACUAGCAAAAGGCAUCCUCUAUAAGAUAAGUCUUAUAAAAUAUAUAGAUUUAUGAUAAUUAGGACUGAGCUAGCAGAUGAGAAAUUCUAGUCAUUGGCCAAGCAGCAUUUGUACCUAAUAUAAGUAUCUGUGUGUUACUUGGGACCUUAACAUGGUGGUGGACAGAACUUGGGUGGCCUGGCAGAAAGCGCCCACAUGGCGGCAGGGCUCAGGCGGUUGGAAUAAAGACUUAUUGUUACAGCCAUUGUCCUAGUUAGGGCUUCUAUUACAGUGAAGAGACACCAUGACCAUGGCAACUCUUAUAAAGGAAAACAUUUAACUGGGACUGGCUUACAGUUUCAGAGGCUUAGACCAUUGUCUGUAGGGAGCCGUCCCUGCAUUCUCCAUUACAAGAUGGCGCCUGCAUCCGGCAGGCACCAAAUGUAAACAAGUUAAUGCGCGCAGGUGCUGGGUAACUUUCCAUUCCUUGAUCUCUGCCUCUUCCGUGGCUUCAUAUGGUCCGAUGAGCUGCAGCCAAUCAUGGGGUGACACAUCCAAGGCGGCGGUUGCCAGCCUUUAUUAGGGGACGGGAUUCUUGGCUCAGGGUCUCCGCUUUUGUAAGCUUAUGCUCUCUCUCAAGACGCAUAAAGCUUUACUGCAGAAGGAUCCGAGUGUCCUGUGUUGUUCUUGCCGGCAAGAUGAUCACACGGGACAAUUGUCAUGGCCGGAAGCAUAGUAGCAUGCAGGCAGAUGUGGUGCUGGAGAAGGAGCCAUCCAGAUUGACAAGAGUUCUACAUCCAGAUUGACAAACAGCAGGGAGAGAGCAUGACACUGGGCCUGGCUUGAGCAUCUGAGACCUUAAAGUGACACACAUCCUCCAUCGAAGCCACACCUACUCCAACAGGACACACCCCCUAGUAGUGCCACUCCCCAUGGGCCUAUGGGGGCUGUUUUCAUUCAAAGCACCACAGACAUUUUUAUUUAGAUGACAUGGCACUGACAUGGCUAUCCAGUAUGAGUCAUCUAAGACUUGGCUGACACCUGACAUUCAAGGGAUUGUAUGAAUCAGCACAAAAUGACUGACGCUGAAUGUCAGGGAACUCCAAAGUAAACAGUGAUUGGUGUGAGCUCUUAUGUAACUAAUUUUGACGGAGUACCACUUUUGAGUAGUUAGGUAUAAAUACAGCGCUGAAGUCAGAAGCCUGGACCUGCAUCUCUCCUCUCUCUCUCUCUCUCUCUCUCUCUCUCUCUCUCUCUCUCUCUCUCUCUCUCUCCCUCCUCUCUCUCUCUCUCUCUCUCUCUCUUUCUCUCUCUUUGUGUGUGUGUGUGUGUGUGUGUGUGUGUGUGUGUGUGCAGGUUUGUGUACAAGCAAAUGUGUGCUGGAUUAUGCCUGAGUGCCUGCUGUCAGCUGCUUGCCUAGUGAUUUAUGUGGCAGCAUUAGGCCAGAGUGAAUAAAGUGUGUCUUAUCUACUGGUACCUCCUCAUAAUCCCUUCAACCUCCCAUGAUCCUCCUCUUCUCCUGACGCUGGAGCAUUGUCCCGGGUGAACAAAGCCCUGGUUAUUAGUAAGGACACAGACAUCAUUGUAUCCUUAAACACAGCUUUACAUCUCUAAUUUGUUUGUCUGUGUGUUGAUCUUAAGAUGUCUCCUUCAUCCUGGUGAGGGCUGAACUCUAUCGAGUCCUACUGGUGUCAUAAGAAACCCUUCCCAUGGUUCAGUCCACCUCUCUAUAAGUUGAUCUGGGCAUCUACUGUUCAGGUUUUCAGAAGCACCCAGUCAUACACUUGAAGCAGUGUCUAGAAGAUGUAAGGACCAAAUCUCACAUAAUCAGAUAUUGUAGACAGGUUUAAAAUCUGUCCUGAUAGUGUAUAUAACCUUUCAUUUUUUUUUUAAAUUUAUUUAUUGGUUCCAGUUAGGGAACAAGCUUGUUUCACAUGUAAGUCCCUUCUCCCUCUCCCUCCCCUCACCCCCAUCCCUCCUCCCCCACCCUCAACGGGGGCUCUGCAAAGUCCACCAAAUCUUCCUGUGCUGUCCUGGGCCCUUCCCCAUGUGUCCAGGGCCAGAGUGUAACCCUUCAUAUGGGAUGGGCUCUCAAAGUCCCUUCUUGCACCAGGGAAAAAUACUAAUCCACCACCAGAGGCUCCCUGGAGUGCAGAGGCCUCCUUAUUGACAUCCAUGUUCAGGGAUCUGGAUCAGUCUUGUACUGGCCUCCCAGACAGCAUCUGGGGUCGAUGUGCUCUCCCUUGUUCAGGCCAACUGUUCCUGUGGGUUUCUCCAACCUGGUACAGACCUCUUCGCUCUUCAUUUCUCCCUCUCUUCAACUAAAUUCCCGAUUUCAGCUCAGUGUGUAUCUGUGGAUGUCUGUCUCUGCUUCCAUCAGCCACUGGAUGAGGACUCUAGGAUGGCAUAAAGAGAAGUCAUCAAUCUCAUUUUAGGGGAAGGGCUUUUAGGUUAUCCUCUCCACCAUUGCCUGGAUUGUCAGAUCGUGUCAUCCUUGUAGGUCUCUGGAGAUCUCCCUGGUUCCAGAUCUCUUCUCGGACCUAUAGUGGCUCCCUCUGAUAUGGUAUCUCUCAUCCUGCUCUCUCUCCUCUAUUCUUCCCCAACUCAAUAUUUCUGCUCCUCCAUUUCCUCUCCUCUACUCCUCUUUUCUUGCUCUUAUUGUAGCAGCUCCCUCCCCCCUACCCUCAUGCUCCCAAUUAGUUCAGGAGUUCAUGCCACUUCCAUUCCUGGGGACCAUUUAUCCCUUAGAGUCCUUCAUGUUUCCUAGUUUCUUUGGUGAAGAGGAUUAUAGGCUGGUAAUCCUUUGCUCUAUGUCUAAAAUUCAUAUAUGAGUGAGUACAUACCAUGUUUGUCUUUUUGUGACUGGGUUACCUCACUCAGGAUAUAACCUUUCAUUUUUAAGAUUUAUUUUUAUUUAUGUGGAUAUGUGCAUGGAUUGGUUGCCUUUCUGUGGCUAUGAUAAACACCAUGACCAAGACAACUGACAACAGGAAGGUUUUAGAUAGGCUUUUAGUUCCAGAGGUCUGAGCCCAUUACUACAUGGUGCAGAGGCAUGGUAGCAGGCAGCCAUUGUGGCUAGAGUGGCAUGCUGAGAGCUCACAUUUGGAAUUGAAAACAAGAAGCAGAGAGGACAAACUGGAAAAUGGCAUGAGUUUUUAAAUCUCAAAGCCUGCCUCCAGUGACAUACUUCUUCCAACAAGGCCACACCCCUAAACCUUCCCAAACACACCACCAACUGAGAACCAGUGUUCAAAUGCAGGAGCCGAAAUGGUUUGGAGGUACAUGACUCACUCUACACGGGGGAGGCAGGUGCAGGCUGAACACUGUGAACUCAAAGCCAGCCUGGGCUACAUAGUGACUUCCAGGCCAGAAAAGGUCAUGAACACAUGGACCUCCUGUAGAACCUAACACCUACACUGCACACUGUUUAUCCUUGCUUCUGGAAAAAGAAAGCAAGUGAGUCCUAGAAACCAUCCCCAAGUCCUUACAGACUGGGUGAUGAGAUAAUGACUCUGCCAGGCUGGCACGUGGUCCAUCUGGAAGAUAGCAGUGAGACAACCCCUUCCUGCACCAAGGAAAAGGAAAUGCUUUGCUUAUAAAGUUUAAGCACUUCGGAGAGAUGGCUCAGAGGUUAAGAUCAGUGACUUCUCUUCCAGAGUUUCUGAGUUCAAUUCCCAGCAUCCACAUGGUGGCUUAUAACCAUCUGUAAUGAGACCUGGUAUCCUCUUCUGGCAUGUAGGCAUAAAUGCAGGCAGAACACUAUAUACAUAAUAAAUAAAUAUUUAAAAAAAUAAAAAAUAAAGUUUAAGCACUUCACUAAAGAAGUGAAUUUUGAGUGCUUUAUCAAUCUUCAACUUAAAAAUCAUAGACACUGUACAUCAAUUAUAUAUGGGCAGUACAAGAAGUUCUUAUUGUUUUUUAAAAAGAACAUGAUGUUGGAGGUUAGAGAAAGGGCCGCAGGACUGGUAAGAUAUAAGAAGUGGCACUAGGGUCAAAGCACGCACUAAAUUCUCAAAGAACCAGCAAAUAGUUUUCAAGUUAAAACUUCUAGUAUAGCAAUGUGACUUAUUAGCUAGUGCUCUUGUUUCAAGGCAAUGUGUCUGACAGAACAAUUCAGUAGUGUGUUUCAGCCAGUAGUUUCUAGGGAUACAGCCCAUGGGGAGGGAAUGCAUGCAUGGAGCUGAUGUGCUCUGCUCACAACGACACAGUAAAGCACAUGGCCACCUGGGACUCCUGGGUGGACUGUUGGACUAAUCGGGCUACUGGCAACCUGAGAUUCCUACCUGCACUAAGCUUCAUGUUCAUUGGACACUAAGCAAUGGAAUGAGUUUUUCUGCCCUAACUAUUAGCAAUUCCUUUUCGGUAGACAAUUCCUAUUUAAACCGUUCCAUUUUCUGUCCAGGCGUGAGACUGAAAAGGCCAAUCCAGCCAGCACUAAUUGAAUGCACAGGGAGACAACAGUCCUCUGAGUGUCCACGUCCUGAGAAUUGACUAGUUACUAACUGAUGCAUGACGUCACGUGUACUCAUGGUAGAGACUUGUGCAGUGAGGAAUGGCUCGCCAAAGCCAAUCAGAUGUCAGUCAGAGAAUCAGCUGUGUGAGUCCUCUUAGCAAGCAAACUCCUCCUUCUUUCGAAUCCCACAAAGGGGAGUUCCGGAGGACAAUCAGGACUCCAGUAUUCUCUCACUCAAGUGGCACACUGUCUUGCUAGUUUAUUAGCUCUUCACUGUCACUUUGAUUUGGAGUAGUUUCCUUGUCACUUUGCAAUUGUUAUGUUCCCUGGGCCACGCAUUGGUGGCACACGCCUUUAAUCCCAACACUCGGAAGGCAGAGGCAGGCAGAUCUCUGUGAUGUAAGUUUGAGGCCAGCCUGGUCUCCAGAGCGAGUGCCAGCAUAGGCUCCAAAGCUACACAGUGAAACCCUGUCUCGAAAAAAAGAAAAAGAAAAAGAAAAAAGAAAAGAAAAGUUCUCUGAAUAAGAUGUAAGAACCUACAAGCACAAGGACUGUUGGUCCAGUCUUGGGAACAGGACCAACAGUAUGUUUGCAGUCUCAGAGCAAGUAGAUUAAAGCUGCUGCUUGGGCGAUUUCUGGGUUUCUCCAUUUUAUUAAAAUAUUUUCUCUUUCUUUUCUUUUUUAUUUUGUUUUGUUUGUUUUUGGUUUUUUGUGUGACAGGGAUUCUUUGUGUUGCCCUGGUCAUCCUGUGAAUUUCUCUGAACCCCAAGCUGGCUUUUAUACCAGAGAUCUGCAUGCUAGCAGAGUGCACCAGAUCUCAUUCAAGGUGGUUGUGAGCCACCAUGUGGUUGCUGGGAAUUGAACCCCAGUCCUCUGAAAGAACAGUCAGUGCUCUCAAUUACUGAUCCAUCUCUUCAGCCCCACACCCUGUUUCUUGCACUCUUUUUCAGCUAAAAUUUUCCUCUUCUUUAUUUUGAGAGAAAAGAGGACUGCUCUGUGUAGUCCUAACUGUCCUGGAGCUCUCUGUGUAGACCACGUGCUGGUUUGAACUCGCAGAGAUCUUCCUGUCUCUGCCUCCUGUGUGCUGGGAUUAAAAACAUGCACCACCACCGCUUGGCUAAAAUAUAUUUUAGGAGAAUAUAUUUUCGUCAUAUUCUUUCCUCUCUUUUUAUUCCAUCUGGAACAUGCAUCAAUGGGAUUGUGUACCCAAGUUCAAAGGGACUCUUCCCUCCUUGUUUGAGCAUUUCUGGAAACAUCCAUGCAUCUACACCUCAGUAUGUGUAUAUGAGUGCUUGCUGGAUAAAAAGUAUGAAUGUCUACAGAGACUGGAGACACAGCUCCGGUGAAGAGCACACAUUCCUGCAGAAGAACGAACGUAACACACUUCAUUACAUGCCUGGAGAUGCACAUCUGCCUGCAACUUCAUCUCCAGGACGUCUGAUGCCCUAGUUUGGCUUCAAUAGGCACAUGCACUCUCAUGUGAAAACACACAUACAUACACGCAAUUAGCUGCCACAGGGAGAACACUGAAAUUGCUCCUAUUUAUUGAAUUGUGUUGUACUUACUGUAUUAUUAAAUAUACUCACCAUCUUCCUGAAAAUAGCUUAGGCUUUCCUAGGAAUAAACAGGAACAUAUCUUUUCAUAGAAUAAACAUUUCUCUCAGAAUUCUGGAUUUAAUAUUUUUCAUCAUUUCAAAUGUCAGAACUUGUGUGUUUCACAUUUCUCUAAAAAAAUAUUAGGAGGACACUACCAGGACAUUCACUAAGGACAGCUCACAGGGUUGCAGUAACACAGCCAAGGCUUCAGAAUCCCUGAGCAAUUCUACUGACUUUGGUGAUAUGAGGCUGCCAGGCAUGACGACAGUGGCUGUCAAUGUGCGAGGAGCUGUCCAAUGGAUAAGGUCGCAUCUCAUCCUCUUCAUGAAGAGGGAACCCAGUACAGUUUUCCCCUCCCUUCAUCUCCCUCUUCCCAAACCCAUCCUCCAUUUCCCUUUUUAAAAAAAGGAAAAAGAGCAGACCUCUCAGUUAUAUCAACAGGAUAUGGCAUAAUGAAUUACAACUACACAUAAACCCUCAUAUCAAGGCUGAAUGAGACUUAAUGGGCUCUCAUUUGAUGAACACAGUGCACCAUGGAAGGAAGUUCUAGGGGCAGGAACAUGAAGAUGCUGCUCCCACUAAAUCUCCAUUCCAGAAGCAGAGAACAUGCCACGGCCAUGCUCUGAUGGCUCUCUGGGUUUUGUGCCAUGGAAUUAAACAAGCCCAGAGAAGGGAACUACAUGGAUUUAGGGUAUAUCAGCCCUACCCUACAGAAACCAUGUUGAGAUUUUCAUCUGGAAAAAAAAAUUAGUGUUUGACUUUGGUUCUUAUGACAACACUAAAUGCACCCAGAUUUCUUCCUAGAAUAUCAC